GUUCCGGAGACUCUCAGCGCGGCCGCGGAGCCGCAGUCGCGGGGAGUGGGGUGCGGAUCUUGUGUUUGCGCACGCAGUCGCCGGCCACCUCAGGCCGGAGCUAGAGAUACGGCUCGGGAUAGGAGGGCCCGGCGGCUCUGAGGAAGGUUCGCCUCGAGCCGCACGGCCCGGAGCAGCGGCUCCGCGGUGGUCCCCGGGGCUUGAGAGGGGUGCGGGCCUGGGAGCCCCUGAGGGCCUGAUUUACGGAACUCCCCCUCCUUCCUCCUUUCUGCCGUUCCCUGCUUUGUGGCGGAUGCGCAGGGAUCAGUAGGGACGGCAGCAGUAGGGCCACCCGGGCCUGCCCCGCUUCCCGCAUUGCCCGGCCUGGCGCGCCGCCUCCGGGCCUUGGCAAAGCCCCAGCGCCCGAUUGCCACUGACCAGUGCUUGGAAGUCCUUUACCGACUGCCCGUCAGCGUCCCGCAGAGAGGAUUUUGCGUCUCCAAAGACGCCCCUCUUCCGAAAACAGGCUCCUUUUGUGUUCUCAGUCGGGUAUAUUUUUCUGUCUCCAAACUAGAUUGGCAGCCGUUUUUUGAGAGCAGGGAUGGCCAUCUGGGACCUCCACCCGUGAAAAGGCGGCUCAUUGGUCUGACUCCAACACUAAAUUACGCCAUCCAGGAAGCCUUUCCUAGUCACCUCUGCUGGAGAUCGUCCUCUGUGUGUCGGUUGUUAGUAAAGAGCACACAUUCUGUGGAAAGAUAUUGAGAAUCUCACGCACUCUGUUGCCCAGGCUGCAGUGCAGCGGUGCAAUCUCGGCUGACUGCAACCUCCGCCUCCUGAGUUUAAGCAAUUCUCCUGCCUCAGCCUCCCGAGUAGCUGGGAUUACAGGUGCCCACCACCAUGCCUGGCUAAUUUUUGUAUUUUUAGUAGGGAUGGGGUUUCACCAUGUUAGCCAGACUGGUCUGAAACUCCUGACCUAAAAUGAUCCACCCACCUUGGCCUCCCAGAGUGCUGGGAUUACAGGUAUGAGCCACUGCGCCAUGCCUUGUUCCACUUUAUCUUUCAAGAGUAAGUUUCAUCGUGGAUUAUGGUUAAAGACAAGUCCUGAUUUGGUUUUCCUACCUGAUCACGAGGCCACUCGAUAGAACUAGUAAGCUAUGCCUUGGGCCUGCAGGAUGGCACCUGACUUGAAGAUGGCACCUGACUUGAAGAUGGCACCUGACUAGCAUUUGGACUGGUUUGCAGGCUGAGCACAGGGUUGCUCCAGGUGGGCCCAAAUGCUGAAGAGCCUCAUGUUAGAGUUUUUCACCUCUGCGAUGGAACUGUGGUGGACUCCAGUAUCAUCAUUCCAGGGAGGCAUAGCCGCACCAACUGUGUUCCCAGGUUUCACAUGGAGAAGGGUUUUAGAAAGUGCAGAUAGCCUUGAAACCACUGGUUUCCUACCACUGUUUAUUUCAGCAUAACUUUUUUUGUGUGGAAUGCUAGCUCUGGAAGAGCAGAAAUAAAUACAGCUUAAGCUUUGAA